GACGAACGCUGGCGGCGUGCUUAACACAUGCAAGUCGAACGGAAAGGCCCUGCUUUUGUGGGGUGCUCGAGUGGCGAACGGGUGAGUAACACGUGAGUAACCUGCCCUUGACUUUGGGAUAACUUCAGGAAACUGGGGCUAAUACCGGAUAGGAGCUCCUGCUGCAUGGUGGGGGUUGGAAAGUUUCGGCGGUUGGGGAUGGACUCGCGGCUUAUCAGCUUGUUGGUGGGGUAGUGGCUUACCAAGGCCUUGACGGGUAGCCGGCCUGAGAGGGUGACCGGCCACAUUGGGACUUAGAUACGGCCCAGACUCCUACGGGAGGCAGCAGUGGGGAAUAUUGCACAAUGGGCGGAAGCCUGAUGCAGCAACGCCGCGUGCGGGAUGACGGCCUUCGGGUUGUAAACCGCUUUCGCCUGUGACGAAGCGUGAGUGACGGUAAUGGGUAAAGAAGCACCGGCUAACUACGUG
rnacentral:rRNA from 1 species